rnacentral:rRNA from 1 species
CGUACUAACUUGCGAUAAGCGCAGAUAAGGCAGUAAGAGCCGUUUGAGUCUGCGAUUUCCGAAUGGGGAAACCCAACUGCAUAAGCAGUUACUGUUAACUGAAUACAUAGGUUAACAGAGCAAACCGGGGGAACUGAAACAUCUAAGUACCCCGAGGAGAAGAAAUCAACCGAGAUUCCGGUAGUAGCGGCGAGCGAACCUGGAUUAGCCCUUAAGCACUCGGUGAAGUAGGUGAACAAGCUGGAAAGCUUGGCGAUACAGGGUGAUAGCCCCGUAACCGACGCUUCAUCGAGCGUGAAAUCGAGUAGGGCGGGACACGUGAUAUCCUGUCUGAAUAUGGGGGGACCAUCCUCCAAGGCUAAAUACUCCUGACUG